CACAAAGAGGCGUUGUCUUCUUGUUUGUUGUUUUUUCCAUGGUAGGAUUCAUCUUGUUUUAUAGUGUUUAUAAUGAAUUUUUUCCCCCAAAGGACAUGAUUCAUACAUAUAUAUAACGGAUGGUGCAAAAAAGAGAAAAAGGUGUAAAUAAUGGAGAAAUGGAAGGGAUGGAGGUACUUCAAGAGUUUUCCUAUUUACAAAAUUAAGAGUAUUCUCCGUAAACUCUCUUCAAAAUUCAGGUGUAAACAAAAGAGACAGAGAAAUGGACUUGUUAGUCUUUAUAAGGACAUGGAAUCUUGUGGGGAAUAUUCAGAUAUACAAGUCAUGUGGAAAAUGAUUCAAUCUUCUUCUUCUUAUUCUUCUCAUCAAUAUGCAUCAUGCAGCAACAAGAAAAGAAGAACAAAAAGGUCUUCAUAUUGGGUUCUCUGCUUCAGGCCAACUUAAUUGAAUUUCUUGAUGGAACAGAGUCCAGGUUCAUUAAAAAUGGUAGAGAGAAGAAGAGGAAUCAAAAUUGGAUUCAUCAUGUCAGUAUUAUAAGUUAUAACUUAAUCCCAAUUUAUUCCUUUCAGCCUCUGCUUCUUUUAUCACAUCAUUACUUUUGUUACACUCUGUAAGUGAAUGAUCAGACUCCAAAUAUAUAUGAAUCUCAUUAUGUAGAAGCCAUAUCAAAGUUUAGUUUUUAUAUUGAGUUUAGAUAUUUCUUUGA